rnacentral:lncRNA from 1 species
UCCCGAAAAUUCAGCCUCACAGCAAGUCACAUAUCCAUUUUGAUCAUAUCUCAGUGAAUGGUGUAAGAUAUUGGUCUAUACCUAGUUUCUGCCAAACUACUUUCCAAUUGUCCCAGUAAUUUUUCUUCCCAAAACCUGGAUCCAUACUUUUGUCAAAUAUAAGAGAGAAUUUGUGGAGCCUGGAUUGUUACAAAGACAGUUCUCAGCCACUGGUCUACCUAUAGUAAUGAGGCAGAGGAUGAGAAACAAAGGAGAAAUGAUUUGAGAAAGCUAACACUAAGCUGAUCUACUUCAGAGGCAGAACUUGGAUGAGGGGGUGAUGGAAGUCACAUAGAAGCAAACUGAAACUUGAUGCCAGGAGGUUUAUUAACUAUUUAAGCUGUUCCCAAAGCGGAAUGAAUCCCCAGGAGGU